rnacentral:lncRNA from 12 species
GUUCCAGCCUCACUUCUACAAGGGAAGAAUCCCAAUACUGAGACCUCUUUUCACUCUUUACUCAUGUGCAGGAGGCCUGGGAGUGAAAUUAGGAUCAGAGCUGCUGACACUGAGCUUUAUCCUGCCCAGGAAGGUCCCUGCUGGUGGAGGUUGUUGUGAUCCACCGGGAAAGACGUCGCACCCCGGCAGCUCCAAGACGUGAGAGUCCUCUGCUUGGGGAGGAAGCAGAACUCAAGAUGUGGAUCACCCCUGAAGCAGCCCUCAGGAAUCACACCCUGGGAAUGUCUGUGUGCCCACUGCUGUGGAGGAUGGACCUGCCUGCUCCCCUGCCCGGAGUGAAUUAAAGACACCACGGAACUCAUUCCAUGUGCAGCUGCCUCAGAGGGAGCAUCACAGCACUGGGCAGCCCCGGUGCC